rnacentral:rRNA from 1 species
GAUGAACGCUGACAGAAUGCUUAACACAUGCAAGUCAACUGUGGCGGACGGGUGAGUAACGCGUACAGAACUUGACUCACAGAUAGGGACAACAUUUGGAAACGAAUGCUAAUACCUGAUACUGUGAGAGAGCUUUGCGUCCCAUUAGCUAGUUGGAGAGGUACCGGCUCACCAAGGCGAGGAUGGGUAGCAGGCCUGAGAGGGUGAUCGGCCACAAGGGGACCGGGACACGGCCCUUACUCCUACGGGAGGCAGCAGUGGGGAAGAUUGGACAAUGGGCCAAAGUCUGAUCCAGCAAUUCUGUGUGCACGAUGAAGUUUUCGGAAUGUAAAGUGCUUUCAGUUGGGAAGCGGUACCAACAGAAGAAGUGACGGCUAACUACGUGCCAGCAGCCGCGGUAAUAC